GGUCGGUCUUCACCCGUGCGUGACCACCUCGACGAGAGGAGCUCGGAAACGCAAAGAAGCCGCCGGGAUUCUCAUCUAUCUGAAACCCUAGAUCUCCCUUUCCGGCUGUGAGUUCAAGGAUACAAGGAAUAAAGAAAAAGGAAAGCUAAUAUUUA